rnacentral:rRNA from 1 species
CUCUUAAGACAUCUUAAGUAAUCUCUGCCCUAUGAUGUAUUAAAUGGCCGCAGUAUUUUGACUGUGCAAAGGUAGCAUAAUCAUUUGUCUCUCAAUUGGGGACUGGAAUGAAAGAGUAGACGAAAUGGGAUCUUUUGAGGUAGGGGGUAAAUUUGACACAAGAGUCAAAAGGCUCUUAUACUUCUAGGGGACGAUAAGACCCUAUAAAACUUAACUUUGAGCUUUACCNUUAAAGGAGAGGGGAGGGUUAANAGUUAAACUGGGGCGGUUUUUGUAAAACCUAUAAAAAUUAAAAUAUAAAAGAUAGAAAUGAAAAACUUAAUUAAAAAUUUGAUCAAGUUACUUUAGGGAUAACAGCAUAAUCCCCUCAGAGAGUCCAAAUCGGCGGGGGGGAUUAUGACCUCGAUGUUGAAUUGGGAAUAUUUUACCGGGCAGCCCCGUAGAGAGUUAGCCUGUUCGGCUAUUAAANUCCC